CGAGCGGGGGAACNGAUAAUUGCUACUGGACCUAGCGGCGGACGGGUGAGUAAUGCUUAGGAAUCUGCCUAUUAGUGGGGGACAACAUCUCGAAAGGGAUGCUAAUACCGCAUACGUCCUACGGGAGAAAGCAGGGGAUCUUUGGACCUUGCGCUAAUAGAUGAGCCUAAGUCGGAUUAGCUAGUUGGUGGGGUAAAGGCCUACCAAGGCGACGAUCUGUAGCGGGUCUGAGAGGAUGAUCCGCCACACUGGGACUGAGACACGGCCCAGACUCCUACGGGAGGCAGCAGUGGGGAAUAUUGGACAAUGGGGGGAACCCUGAUCCAGCCAUGCCGCGUGUGUGAAGAAGGCCUUAUGGUUGUAAAGCACUUUAAGCGAGGAGGAGGCUACUUUAGUUAAUACCUAGAGAUAGUGGACGUUACUCGCAGAAUAAGCACCGGCUAACUCUGUGCCAGCAGCCGCGGUAAUACAGAGGGUGCGAGCGUUAAUCGGAUUUACUGGGCGUAAAGCGUGCGUAGGCGGCUUAUUAAGUCGGAUGUGAAAUCCCCGAGCUUAACUUGGGAAUUGCAUUCCAUACUGGUGAGCUAGAGUAUGGGAGAGGAUGGUAGAAUUCCCGGUGGGGCGCCGAGGU
rnacentral:rRNA from 1 species